AAACCUGUGCCCCCUGCAGUGGAAGCGUGGAGUCUCAACCACUGAAUCGCCAAGGAAAUUACUGCUCUGGGUCGGGCCAGAUUCUAGAGCAUUCAUCAUGCUGUAGGCGGGGACACCACCCAGGAGGAGGAGAGCACGUGACUGCCUGCAAACAAGCUGCCCGAUUGCCAUCCGCACCGCCCACCAUCCUACUCCAGCCAGCUGCCCCCUCCAAGACAGGAGUUAUUUGGGCUGCAGGGUUUUGAGCAGCCACACAGAAAACCCCGUUUCACCAGACGGCGGCAAACCUAGCAGUGGUGAGAUGGGCUCUGGGCCAGCCUGACAUAGACCCGCACACCCAGUGUGACUGGGCAGAGAGAGAGGGGUGGUCCCUCAGCCUGAGAAGGGCACAGAAGUGACUUCGACGACCGGUAGGCGAGAGGAAACCUCACAUUUGGUCACUGAGAACAAAGAGCAUAGCAUUUGACAACCGGAGGCCCCAGCAGGUUGUAGGCGUCAAUCACAGGGUCACAGGAAUGGAGGGCAGAGCCCAGGACCUGGUGGACAAGGGACUCUCAGGAGCAUCCAGGGCAGAGGGCCAUGGACCAGCUGUGCCAUCCUGUCUGUGACACUCAGAUACUGUGUAAACCUCCCCUGAAUCCCAGUCCCACCCAGGAUAAGGAAAGAAGGUGGGAUGGAGUGGGGAGCACCUCAAAUUGACCAGUCCAACACCACUGUCUUCAGCAGAAUCCCUUCUCCAGGAAACCACAGUAUGGGCUCUUAAGGCCUCUGACUGGUUGGGUGAGGCCCAAUCCCAUCAUCAGGGAUCCUCUCAUUUCCUCGAAUUCAGUGAUGGCAGAGAUUGACCACAUCUACAAAAUACUUUCAAGGUAACACCCCAGUUGGUGUUUGAUUAGAUAUCUGGACACGACAGCCUGCUCAGGCUGACACAAUAACCAUCACUCUGGCUUUUUUUGCAUAUCCAAGUUUAUGAUUCUGUUUAAAUUCACACUUGAGACAAAUAUAGUGUAUAAUCACACAUCCUGAUGCUUCUAACGGGGCACACCAAGACUCUUGUGUGAGGCAAAUCCCCAUUCUGUCCACUCCCACUUUUGAGGGGGCCUGGCUCCCCAUUUUCUCUUGGCAGGUGGGGGAAGGCGCAGGAGCUUCGCAACAGCCAGACCCUGUGCCCUCCUUCCCCAGACUCGGGAAGGUUCUAUUUUGUUGUUGUUGUUUAGUCGCUCAGUCAUAUCCAACUCUUUGCAACCCCAAGGACUAAAUAAAGCCCACCAGGCUCCUCUGUCCGUGGAAUUUUCCAGGCAAGAAUACUGGAAUGGGUUCCCAUUUCCUUCUCCAGGGAAGAGAGGAAUAUAAUUCACAAACUGUAGGAUUCACACUUUUAAAAUAUAUAAUUCAGUGGCUUGUAGUAUAUUUACAGAGCUGUGCAAACAUCAUUACAAUCUAAUUUGAGAGCAGUUUCAUCACCCCCUGAAGAGACUCUGCCCCCACUAGCAGUCAUUCCUUGUCUUUCCCUAACUCCUCCAGCCCAAGGCAACGAUUAAUCUGCUUUCUGUCUCUGUGUAUUUGCCUGGCCUGGACGUUUAGUAUAAAUGCUUAGUCACUCAGUUGUGUCUGACUCUUUGCAACACUUUGAACUUAGCUUGCCAGGCUCCUCUGUCCAUGGGAUUUUUCAGUCUAGAAAGCUGGAGUGGGUUACCACUUCCUCUUCUAGGGGAUCUUCCCGACCCAGGGAUCAAACCCAUGUCUCCUGUGUCUCGCGCAUUGCAGGCAGAUUCUUUACUGCUGAGCCAUCGGGGAAGCCCUUUGUGUAAACAAAAUCAUCCAGUAGGUGGUUUCCUGUAUCUGCUUCUUUAACGUCACAGGAUGUUUUCCAAGUUCAUCCACAUUGUAGCCUGUAUCCAAAUUCCAUUUCUUCUUCUUGCUAAAUAUAUUCCGUUGUACAGACAUAGCGCAUAUUCCUCAUCUGUUCACCAGUUGAUGGAUAUUUGGAUUGUUUCUGCCUUUUGUCUGUUGGGAAUAACACCGCUGUGAACAUUUACAUGCCAGUGUUUGUGUGGACGUAUGUUUUCAUUUCUCUCGGGUGUCCACCUCGGAGUGGAACCACACAGUCAUAUGGUGACUCUAUAUUUAACCUUUUCAGGAAGCGCCUGACUGUUUUCCACCGCAGUGGCUCUACUUUUACCUCGCCACCAGCAAGGUACGGGCUCCAGUUACUCCACAUCCUCACCAGCCUGGGUUUUUCCAUCUUUUUGAUGAAAGCCAUCCUGUGGGUGUGCCUUAGCCUGUUUGUGUUUUUGUAUGGCCU